GUAAAUUAAAGUUUUACAGGUCUU
rnacentral:tRNA from 1 species